rnacentral:rRNA from 1 species
ACUCAAUAGAUACCCAGGUAGUCCUAGCUGUAAACGGUGCACGUUUGGUGUGGGAGGCAACCCCUUCCGUGCCGAAAGCUAAACGCGAUAAACGUGCCGCCUGGGUAGUACGGUCGCAAGACUAAAACUCAAAGAAAUUGACGGGGACCCGCACAAGCGGUGGAGUAUGUGGCUUAAUUCGAUGCAACGCGAAGAACCUUACCAGGGCUUGACAUGUAUUGUAACCCCGGUGAAAGCCGGGCAGCAUGGAAACAUGCGCUUUACACAGGUGCUGCAUGGCUGUCGUCAGCUCGUGUCGUGAGAUGUUGGGUUAAGUCCCGCAACGAGCGCAACCCUUAUGAUUUGUUGCCACCGGUUCAUUCCGAGCACUCAAAUCAGACUGCCCAGAUUAACUGGGAGGAAGGUGGGGAUGACGUCAAGUCCGUAUGGCCCUUACGUCCUGGGCUGCGCACGUACUCAAUGUCCAGUACAAAUUGAACCGAUACCGCAAGGUGGAGGAAAUCAACAAAACUGGGCUCAGUUCAGAUUGCAGGCU